UACGUAGGGGUGCGAGCGUUAAUCGGAAUUACUGGGCGUAAAGCGUGCGUAGGCGGUUCGCUGUGUCCGAUGUGAAAGCCCCGGGCUUAACCUGGGAAUGGCAUUGGAAACUGGCGGGCUUGAGUGCGGCAGAGGGGGGGUGGAAUUCCGCGUGUAGCAGUGAAAUGCGUAGAGAUGCGGAGGAACACCGAUGGCGAAGGCAGCCCCCUGGGUCGACACUGACGCUCAGGCACGAAAGCGUGGGGAGCAAACAGG
rnacentral:rRNA from 1 species